GGGGAAUAUUGCGCAAUGGGGGCAACCCUGACGCAGCCAUGCCGCGUGAAUGAAGAAGGCCUUCGGGUUGUAAAGUUCUUUCGGUAGCGAGGAAGGCAUUUAGUUUAAUAGACUAGGUGAUUGACGUUAACUACAGAAGAAGCACCGGCUAACUCCGUGCCAGCAGCCGCGGUAAUACGGAGGGUGCGAGCGUUAAUCGGAAUAACUGGGCGUAAGGGCACGCAGGCGGUGACUUAAGUGAGGUGUGAAAGCCCCGGGCUUAACCUGGGAAUUGCAUUUCAUACUGGGUCGCUAGAGUACUUUAGGGAGGGGUAGAAUUCCACGUGUAGCGGUGAAAUGCGUAGAGAUGUGGAGGAAUACCGAAGGCGAAGGCAGCCCCUUGGGAAUGUACUGACGCUCAUGUGCGAAAGCGUGGGGAGCAAACAGGAUUAGAUACCCUGGUAGUCCACGCUGUAAACGAUGUCGAUUUGGGGGUUGAACUUUGAGUUUGGCGCCCGUAGCUAACGUGAUAAAUCGACCGCCUGGGGAGUACGGCCGCAAGGUUA
rnacentral:rRNA from 1 species